rnacentral:rRNA from 1 species
AGUGAACGCUGGCGGUAGGCCUAACACAUGCAAGUCGAACGGCAGCACAGUAAGAGCUUGCUCUUACGGGUUGCGAGUGGCGGACGGGUGAGGAAUACAUCGGACUCUACUUUUUCGUGGGGGAUAACGUAGGGAAACUUACGCUAAUACCGCAUACGACCUCCGGGUGAAAGCAUGGGAUCUUCGGGCCUUGCGCGAUUGAAUGAGCCGAUGUCGGAUUAGCUAGUUGGCGUGGUAAAGGCCCACCAAGUCGACGAUCCGUAGCUGGUCUGAGAGGAUGAUCAGCGACACUGGAACUGAGACACGGUCCAGACUCCUACGGGAGGCAGCAGUGGGGAAUAUUGGACAAUGGGCGCAAGCCUGAUCCAGCCAUACCGCGUGGGUGAAGAAGGCCUUCGGGUUGUAAAGCCCUUUUGUUGGGAAAGAAAAGCAGCAGGUUAAUACCCCGCUGUUCUGACGGUACCCAAAGAAUAAGCACCGGCUAACUUCGUG